UUAAAUGGUGAUGUCUUCUUUUGUGUCCUUCGUUUUUCAUCAUGGCACCACACCGAACCGCAUAACGACGGUUUGCUUUUCUGCCACGAAGCACGUCAAGCGCAAAGGCAGCAGGCGGCCAGCACUGACGUAGUACCACCCAAUUGGUUCAAGGCUGCGUCACUCAGGAGGGCUUUAUAGAGGAACUAUUUGUCCUCUUCGGAACAUAUUGUAAAAUGUAAAUAAACGUCCUAAGCAUAAACGACGCAUAAUUUAUUUAUGUUUUGCAGGUUAUUUGUCCAAUAUGGCCAAGAGCCAUUAGUCUAAAAUGAAAUGUUAUUUGUUUCUGCAGUCUAUAGAAUUAAAUAUGCUGCUCCCUCUAUAGCUAGGUGUAUAAUUUGCAAAAUAGAAAAAUCAACUUUCGGACUGAGGACAAAUGUACUUGGAGAAGAACGUGCAGGAAUAUGUGGAAAUCCUUCAAAACGCCAAGUGGUGAGGACGCCAUCACUGUACAGAUGGAGGAGAGGCCCGUGUUGCCCUCACCAAGUGUCAGCAUAUGAAAGCAGAGCUCCUUUUGCGUGACCUCUCCGACCAACAGCGACCCCUUGUGGAGGGCCGGUGAGAUGGCGGGAUGAGCGGGGGCAGAUGGAAGUAUGAGCGGGGUGGGCAGGCUGGGAUGACGGUAGAAAGUCAGAGAAGCUGCUGGAAAAAGGGAAGCCGUGAAGCCUGGAAGGAGGAGGCGAGGAGAAGCCAGGGAAAAAAUAAAAGGAGGCAGCAGUGAGGAGUAGGGAUUCUGCGAGCCCACAGCACGGCAGCCGGAUCAAUAACUAAUUUCAGUACUGGGCUGCACUCAGACUGUUUUCCAAUAAGCUCAGGACAUAACGAGUCAGCCUGGACAGCCCCGCCGCCCAUUCUCCUCCCUCCUCCCUCCUCUCUCCAUCCAUCUGCCCCCCCGCCAUGUUUUCUCCUUCUUUUUCAGGACUCGGGUAACCAAUGAUCAGGUUGCUAUAUAUGCAGACGACGGCUCUUAAUUGAUCUAGACCCUCUCGCUCCUGUUCCGUGCCUUUGGUAAGGUACCUCCAUGAGAAGGUGUGGAUUUAAACAGAAGUCAUUCUUUACGCGGGUUUCUGUCUCCGGGAGCCUGUCUCAUCCUGCCUGCAGAAUCUCGUCGGCUCGAGUCUCCUGUGCUGCUGGCGGGUGUCGUCCAGCAGCCCAGAACACAUGUGCAAGUGCAGCUCGCGUUAAGCCAAAAAAAAAUCCUUUAAAUGAGGGAGUUUCCCAUAAUCAGCACGCAGGACACGCAGAUGUGUGCCAGCUGAUGACCGUGAAAUUACCUGCGACAUUAAUGUGAAUUAAUGCAAUGUUGCUGUAAUGUUUUUCAGGGACAUACGAGUUAGUUGUUCGAGUGGUUCUUUGCCUGAAGGUUAGAGUGCUGUGUGCGUGCCUGUGUGUUUUUGGGUGUAUGUGCAUUUUUGGGUAUGUGUGUUUUUU